CAGCCGCAGACCCUACCCCACACACCUGCUAGGGGCCGGCGGCCUGGGAGGCUCGACGCUCGCCUGGCCUCUCCUCCAGAGACUCUUUUCAACCCUGCUGGACCCCGAGCCCUGCCGUAGCUGCCGGGUGACAGGGAGCGGGUCGCAGUGCACCCGGCCCAGUGGAUGUGAUCUCUUGAAAGGAGAGAGACAGAGGUCUCGAUCUCUUUUGGGUUGUGAAGACCAGGUCAAGUGGCAUGAAACCAUGUGUGACUGAUCCCCACUCCCUUGGUCCCCUGGAGCUGGACUUGCAGAUGUGAGCUGUUUUGCUGUUCCCUUCCCUUUAUCACAGUUGGUGAGGCCAUCUUACCUACAGCUAAGAGACCAUGAAGUAUACCUUGAGACAAGCUUGCUUGGGUCUGAAACGAGGCAGAACACAGCCUUGCUUCCAGAGUGAUGUUCUCAGUGUGCUAAAAUGGUAUAUGGCAAUUUAUCAAGAUAGUACACAUUAAAC
rnacentral:lncRNA from 1 species